rnacentral:tRNA from 1 species
AAAAUCCGUCCUUUAGAAAUUGAGGGUUCUCCCUCUAUCCCCA